rnacentral:lncRNA from 1 species
UUUGAAGAUGAUUUCUAUCCAAUUAAUAGCAAGCUGGAAAAAGAAGCUGAAGUUGAUGCAUCAAUUUCUUUACCUAUGAAUGAAAAAGAGAAUAGUACAAGGGAGAAUAAUGUCGCCAAGAUUAAAGUUGUGGUAUGUCAAAAUUUUAUACAGUUGUAUACAUGCAUUGCUUACAUUUUGUGCGAUAAAUAAAUCACAUUGAAAUAUUAUUUUUCUUGUGCUACGUUUGGACUUCCAUAUACAUCGAUAAUAGUACGAAGUAAAUAUUGAAAGUUAGAUUUCUUUCUUUUCUUCCUUUAUUUGGCUACAAUCUAUUUACUUAUGAAUGAAAAAGAUAAUAGUACAAGGGAGAAUAAUGUCGCUAAGAUUAAAGUUGUGGCAUGUAAAAUUUUUAUAGACAGUUGUCUACAUACAUAGCUUCACAUUUUAUGCGAUAAAUCAAUUACAUAGAAAUACUAUUUUUCUUGUGCUAUAUUGGGACUUCCAUAUACAUUGAUAAUAGUAUGAAGUAAAUAUUGAAAGUUAGAUUUCUUUCUUUUCUUCCUUUAUUUGGCUAUAGAACAAAAAAACAAAAGAACCACAACUACUGCUGUUAUCACCGUUGUUUCCCUUCCUAGCAGAAGAGUUUCACCAAUAUCAUCAUCAGUUGGUGUAGAAAAGCGAAGAAUAAACAUCUUUUUAUGAAGAUUUAGUACAUUUUAGUUCAUAGCAUUUGACUUUUGACGUUUGAACCUUUUCAUUUGUGAAUGCAAC